AUGAACGCUAGCUACAGGCUUAACACAUGCAAGUUGAGGGGCAGCAUGACGAUAGCUUGCUUUCGUUGAUGGCGACCGGCGCACGGGUGAGUAACGCGUAUCCAACCUGCCCUUGUCCAUCGGAUAACCCGUCGAAAGGCGGCCUAACACGAUAUGCAGUUCUCAGCAGGCAUCUAACGAGAACGAAAUGUGAAGGAGAAGGAUGGGGAUGCGUCUGAUUAGCUUGUUGGCGGGGUAACGGCCCACCAAGGCGACGAUCAGUAGGGGUUCUGAGAGGAAGGUCCCCCACAUUGGAACUGAGACACGGUCCAAACUCCUACGGGAGGCAGCAGUGAGGAAUAUUGGUCAAUGGGCGAGAGCCUGAACCAGCCAAGUAGCGUGCAGGAUGACGGCCCUAUGGGUUGUAAACUGCUUUUAUGCGGGGAUAAAGUGAGUCACGUGUGGCUUAUUGCAGGUACCGCAUGAAUAAGGACCGGCUAAUUCCGUGCCAGCAGCCGCGGUAAUACGGAAGGUCCGGGCGUUAUCCGGAUUUAUUGGGUUUAAAGGGAGCGUAGGCCGUUUGGUAAGCGUGUUGUGAAAUGUCGGGGCUCAACCUGGGCAUUGCAGCGCGAACUGUCAGACUUGAGUGCGCGGGAAGUAGGCGGAAUUCGUCGUGUAGCGGUGAAAUGCUUAGAUAUGACGAAGAACUCCGAUUGCGAAGGCAGCCUGCUGUAGCGCAACUGACGCUGAAGCUCGAAAGCGUGGGUAUCGAACAGGAUUAGAUACCCUGGUAGUCCACGCGGUAAACGAUGGAUGCUCGCUGUUUGCGUCUGACGUAAGCGGCCAAGCGAAAGCGUUAAGCAUCCCACCUGGGGAGUACGCCGGCAACGGUGAAACUCAAAGGAAUUGACGGGGGCCCGCACAAGCGGAGGAACAUGUGGUUUAAUUCGAUGAUACGCGAGGAACCUUACCAAGUCUUGACAUCCCUUGACGAUGCUGGAAACAGUAUUUCUCUUCGGAGCAAGGAGACAGGUGGUGCAUGGUUGUCGUCAGCUCGUGCCGUGAGGUGUCGGCUUAAGUGCCAUAACGAGCGCAACCCCUGUUCUCAGUUGCCAUCGGGUAAUGCCGGGCACUCUGUGAAGACUGCCUCCGCAAGGAGUGAGGAAGGUGGGGAUGACGUCAAAUCAGCACGGCCCUUACGUCCGGGGCUACACACGUGUUACAAUGGCAUGUACAGAAAGCAGGCCGUAUGCAAAUACGGUCGAAUCCCUAAAACAUGUCUCAGUUCGGACUGGGGUCUGCAACCCGACCCCACGAAGCUGGAUUCGCUAGUAAUCGCGCAUCAGCCAUGGCGCGGUGAAUACGUUCCCGGGCCUUGUACACACCGCCCGUCAAGCCAUGAAAGCCGGGGGCGCCUGAAGUCCGUGACCGCAAGGGUCGGCCUAGGGUGAAACCGGUGAUUGGGGCU
rnacentral:rRNA from 1 species